AUUGAACGCUGGCGGCAGGCCUAACACAUGCAAGUCGAACGAGUGGCGGACGGGUGAGUAAUGUCUGGGAAAGUGCCUGAUGGAGGGGGAUAACUACUGGAAACGGUAGCUAAUACCGCAUACCAUCGGAUGUUCCCAUAUGGGAUUAGCUAGUGGGUGGGGUAACGGCUCACCUAGGCGACGAUCCCUAGCUGGUCUGAGAGGAUGACCAGCCACACUGGAACUUAGACACGGUCCAGACUCCUACGGGAGGCAGCAGUGGGGAAUAUUGCACAAUGGGCGAAAGCCUGAUGCAGCCAUGCCGCGUGUAUGAAGAAGGCCUUCGGGUUGUAAAGUACUUUCAGCAGGGAGGCGUUACCCGCAGAAGAAGCACCGGCUAACUCCGUGCCAGCAGCCGCGGUAAUAC
rnacentral:rRNA from 1 species